rnacentral:rRNA from 1 species
ACUCAAAGGAAUAGACGGGGACCCGCACAAGCGGUGGAGCAUGUGGAUUAAUUCGAAGCAACGCGAAAAACCUUACCAAGGCAUGACAUACGGCGGACAGACGUAGAAAUACGUCCUUUCUUCGGAACUGCCGAUACAGGUGGUGCAUGGUUGUCGUCAGCUCGUGUCGUGAGAUGUUGGGUUAAGUCCCGCAACGAGCGCAACCCUUACGUUCAGUAGCCAUCGGUUAGGCCGGGUACACUGGAUGGACUGCCGUGGAUAACACGGAGGAAGGUGGGGACGAGGUCAAAUCAUCAUGCCCCUUAAGUCUUGGGCAUCACACGUGCUACAAUGGGCACAACAGAGUGAAGCGAGCCGGUGACGGCAAGCAAAGCACAAAAAAGUGUCCUCAGUUCGGAUUGUAGUCUGCAACCCGACUACAUGAAGUCGGAAUCGCUAGUAAUCGCGAAUCAGCAUGUCGCGGUGAAUACGUUCCCGGGUCUUGCACACACCGCCCGU